rnacentral:rRNA from 1 species
UGGCUCAGGACGAACGCUGGCGGCGUGCUUAACACAUGCAAGUCGAACGAUGACGAUGGUGCUUGCACCGUCUGAUUAGUGGCGAACGGGUGAGUAACACGUGAGUAACCUGCCCUCCUCUUCGGGAUAACCGCCGGAAACGGUGGCUAAUACCGGAUACGAAUGCCUGCCGCAUGGUGGGUGUUGGAAAGAUUUAUCGGUGGGGGAUGGACUCGCGGCCUAUCAGUUUGUUGGUGAGGUAAUGGCUCACCAAGGCGAUGACGGGUAGCCGGCCUGAGAGGGCGACCGGCCACACUGGGACUGAGACACGGCCCAGACUCCUACGGGAGGCAGCAGUGGGGAAUAUUGCACAAUGGGCGAAAGCCUGAUGCCAGCGACGCCGCGUGGGGGAUGACGGCCUUCGGGUUGUAAACCUCUUUCAGCAGGGAAGAAGCGAGAGUGACGGUACCUGCAGAAGAAGCGCCGGCUAACUACGUGCCAGCCGCAGC